rnacentral:rRNA from 1 species
CAAAAGCUCCAAAGGAAGCCACGGCUAACUCUGUGCCAGCAGCCGCGGUAAUACAGAGGUGGCAAGCGUUGUUCGGAAUUAUUGGGCGUAAAGAGCACGUAGGUGGAUUUGUUAGUCAGAUGUGAAAGCCUUCUGUUCAACGGGAGAAUUGCAUCUGAAACUACAAACCUUGAGUGUAGGAGGGGAGAGUGGAACUUCUGGUGGAGCGGUGAAAUGCGUAGAUAUCAGAAGGAACGCCGGCGGCGAAAGCGACUCUCUGGUCUAUAACUGACACUGAGUGUGCGAAAGCUAGGGGAGCAAACGGGAUUAGAUACCCCGGUAGUCCUAGCCGUAAA